rnacentral:misc_RNA from 1 species
GAUGAAGAACGUAGCGAAAUGCGAUAAGUAAUGUGAAUUACAGAAUUCAGUGAAUCAUCGAAUCUUUGAACGCACAUUGCGCCCGCCAGUAUUCUGGCGGGCAUGCCUGUUCGAGCGUCAUUACAACCCUCAGGCCCCCGGGCCUGGCGUUGGGGAUCGGCGGAAGCCCCCUGCGGGCACAACGCCGUCCCCCAAAUACAGUGGCGGUCCCGCCGCAGCUUCCAUUGCGUAGUAGCUAACACCUCGCAACUGGAGAGCGGCGCGGCCACGCCGUAAAACACCCAACUUCUGAAUGUUGACCUCGAAUCAGGUAGGAAUACCCGCUGAACUUAAGCAUAUCAAUAAGCGGAGGA